rnacentral:lncRNA from 1 species
CAAAGCGGUCAUGUGCCAUCACAGUUGGAAGCAUGUCAUUCAUGGAUCCGAAAAGGAUAAAAAGGGACAUCUGUGUCAGGCAGUCUGCAUGGAAGAUGGCCCUGCUGUGAGUUAAGAUGUCACAAUCAUCUUUGGGACCAUGAUGGAGAUGAAACAGAUGUCAGCUGAGGACAGGUUGGAGAGGAAGAAGCACAUAGGGGUGCAGAGGUGGGAGUCAGAGCUGACAGCGAAGAUGAUGAGCAGGUUCCCAAGCACUGUGACCAGGCAAGGCUCCUGCAGGUGCAGAAACUGAAUUUCUAGAAUUCUGAAUAUGCUGGAGAUACCUGGCCCAGAAAAAGAUGGACACACAUUACAGAGGAAACUUAAAUACUGUUUUGCCUUCAGCAUCAAUAUCCUAAUAAGAGGGAUGCAAGACAUGUUGGAAAUAGUCUGAUCCAUUCUCUACAGUGCUUAGCAGUGUAUCUA